rnacentral:lncRNA from 1 species
UAGAAGUCCAUCUCCAUUCCUGGCCUCUGCAUCCACUGCUGUCUUUCCCCAUGGUGGGCUCUUAGAGGACAGGCAAUGGGGAUGCAAGCUCGGUGGCUCCAAUUCACACUCCUACAGGUCACCCAUUCACUAAGGUAGCACCCUCCAGGGAUCGCCUUCCAAUAAAACCAGACGCUGUCUAUGCCACCAAGACAGGUCAGAAUAAAUAAAGCCCUUGGUUUUCUUGUUCCACACGAGGGCCAUGCAGAAAUCUUCAGCAACAUCCUACCCUCUGUCAUUCCCAUGCCAGGGCUGCCCUCAGCACCAUUCUCCCCAACCAAAGCAUCCCUCUCCUCCGCCUUCCCACUUGAUUCUCUUAUAGGAAAUCUGAGAACUGGCCUGACACCAAGUUGGAAGGUCGGCCUUGGAAGACACUGAGUUCUCGACCCUGGAGGACAGGCUGUGUUCAUUCAGGACCUGGAGGUUUUCAAACUCUCUCAAUGCCCUGCUGCCGCAUUUGAACUGUAUACAAGUCCACUUCCUGUGUCUUUGAAGAGGAAAUUUCUCAUCUGCUAUCAAGGGUGUUGCUAAUAAUUUAAAGAUCGGGUUUUUUUUCUGCAUUUUAGUCUGGCACAUCUGGGACUCAAGCUUCAAGUGCUGAGUCUUGUAAGGACUGUUCUGCAGCCAAAAACCAGUUAAGGGGAAACAGAAGCAAAAAACCAAUCACAAGUGAAAAAACUCAGCCAGCCUAAUUAAAUAUUUGGAAUUAAAAAUAGUUGGCCACCUGGAAGGGGAAACACCCUUUUCAUCCUGUCAUUCAUUUCUUAGC